rnacentral:lncRNA from 1 species
GAACGAGUCAACCGGAUCGGUGACUGUGGAGGGCGAGCUGAGCCCUAGUUUGUAGUGUUUUAUCUUAUCUACACAUGGGGGACUGAAGAGUUCGAGAGAUCCAAGAGGAAGAAUCCAGCUGCCUAUGAAAAUGACAAAUGAGCAACGCAUCCGGAUGACGGUUCCCUGUCUCUGAAAGACCUUUCUCUGGAAGAGGAGUCUGCAUUGUAGUGUCUCAAAGACACAAUAAACUUCCUAUGGUCUGCACUGUUGUGAUAU